CAAACGGGGGAGGGAAAGAGAGACACAGGAUCCGAAGCAGGCUCCAGGCUCCGAGCUGUCGGCACAGCGCCCCACGCGGGGCUCGAACCCACAAACUGCGAGAUCAUGCCCUGAGCCGAAGUUGGGCGAUUAACCGACUGAGCCACCCAGGCGCCCCCUGGCUGCACACGCGUUUAACAGUAACGUCGGAUGGACUUCGCGCUGUUUCCUGAACCCCGAGCUCUGCUCCUGGGGGCCUUUCUAGAAAGUAGCGCGUGUGCGCCAACGUGUGUCCCCAAUCAGCUUAUCCACGCACACCCCUCCCAAACCCGGCGUCUCUGCUCCGGUCUCUCCUACGUGCCUACGGGAUGCCGUGCGUGUGCGCGUGUGCGUGCGCGUGUGCGUGUGUGCGCCGCCACAGCCGGUGUUGGUCUGAGAUGCUUUAAGAGGCUUGUAUCUGUCAGGGAUUUGGAGCAUCUGGCGCACAGACCCUCGCCUGUUUAUGUCGCUGUCUCUGCGUCCGGUCCCUUGCCGCCCACCUCUCCUCUCCAGCACUUAGGAGGUGAGAAAUGAAUGGCGGUGGAAUUGAAUUGAGCGACCAACUCACACGGCGGGCCAGUAAAUCUUCGGUGGGAGCUGGGGCCAUACAGAAGCUCUCUCGACACCCAUUAUUUGAUGGCGACUUACGAAUGAGGAUAACCAAGAGGCCUUUGGAAGCGAGUGUUGUGAUAAAUCAAACAAGGUAAUAUCCAGGGCGAUCGGGAGUGACCGAAUUUAUUGAUGAAAGUCCACCCCGAAGGAAGAUCCUUCCUUCUUGCGGACACUGCAGAGAGGUGGGCUUCUGUACCCAGCACUGGCUGUGGGUCCAGAUUUUUCUCCCGGCCGAGCACCGCCACCCUACUCCUCCGGAACCUCUGUCUUCUCCGGCUCCUGCCCAGCACCAGUGCUAAAUGCACACCUUUUCUACCCUCAACUCCACCUCGCCCUUGACGUGUCCUGUUUCCUUCUGUCCAAUAAAGGCGGCAGGGUGGGGCUGUGCCUUCUCUGGCUGCCACACGUCUUGGGUCCCUGUGUCAGGCUCCGCCUCCCACGCCAUCCACCCCCCAGUGUGGACUCCACAGCUCCUACCCAGAAGCUGUUUUUCCAUCCUAGGAGCUGACCUCAUUGUUCCUGGGGCUGGAACCAUCUAGAAGGCAACACUUGCCAGUUUAGGAGUUUAUGCACUUUUGUGUUCGUGGCACAGGAGGAACCAAGCCGUACCAUUGUCUUUUGUCAUAAUGAUGGCAUUAACACUUCCUUUUCUUGCCCCUGAGCAUGAACAUGGCUGAAAACACAUAAGUGUGCCCUGAAUGUCACACAGGGACGUAGUCUGCAAAUUCGCUAGUUUUGGAGCCCUGCUGUCAUUGGUAAAAAUUGCCAGAAUGUCCAGACUCGCUUCCUGUUCUUGCGGACCAGCGUGACAUUUUGGCUCAGUUGAGCCCGUCCAUGGGUUGCCACACAAACAUUGUCGGGAGCUGUCAUUUCCUGGCAGGGGACAAUUAUCCCACAUCGCCCCGAGACGCUCUCACAGUGUCCUCCCGGCCCCAGCCAGUCCUCAAAGAGCAAAGGUGGAGCCAGAGUCAACCUUCUGGAGAACUCGGGCAGGAACAAAGUGUGGCUUAUUGGAAAGAACACCGAAUAUGUCCCCGGAGCAGGGCUACACUAUUUUGCUAAUAGAGGAACUGACCUCCACCCACUCACCACCUACUGGUCCCAACCCUACAUGCAUCUUCCUGUGCCUCCCCUGACACCAUGAGGUGGGGAAGGUGACAGCAAUUCUAUGUUUCCAUAACCGCCGACCAGCCUGGCCACACAACAAUGCCCAUUAGACACCACUGUAUACUCUCAGCUGCCCAGCUAAUGAGCUAUCUUCCUAGAAUUUUUUCUACUCCUAUGUCCUUGGCCAGAGCUCUAGCUUUAGGUAAGUUUCCUCAUUAUUGUUAUUCAUUUGUUUAUUUUAGAGAGCUAGACCAUUGUGUGGGGGAGGGGCGGAGGGAGAGAGAAGGUUCCAGGCUUGGUGUGACUGCAGGCUCCAUCCACCAAAGUCUGGGAUCAUGACCUGAGCCGAAAUCAAGAGUCAGACACUGAGCCCCCCAGGUGCCCCUCGAGUUGUUUUUUUUAAUAAUAGGAAUUUAAGUGUAAGAAUGAGAUUAAAGAGUGAACAGUUUCAUUCAGACUUGGUUUUAGAAGGAUGAGAUUUAAUGCCAGUAAAUAAAUGAUGUGGACUUUCCUUACUAAAAAGGACUAAUUGAUCUUUACAUAUUUGAAUCAUUGCCCUGAAACAAAAAUGUUAUAUAAAGCGAA